rnacentral:rRNA from 1 species
UAGGGAAUAUUGGUCAAUGGAUGCAAGUCUGAACCAGCCAUGCCGCGUGCAGGAAGAAGGCUCUAUGGGUUGUAAACUGCUUUUGUCAGGGGAUAAAAUGGGCUUGCGAGCCUAAUUGAAGGUACCUGGCGAAUAAGCCACGGCUAACUACGUGCCAGCAGCCGCGGUAAUACGUAGGUGGCAAGCGUUGUCCGGAUUUAUUGGGUUUAAAGGGUGCGUAGGCGGUCUUAUAAGUCAGUGCUGAAAUAUCCCGGCUUAACCGGGAGGGUGGCAUUGAUACUGUAGGACUUGAGUAAAGUUGAGGUUGGCGGAAUUGACGGUGUAGCGGUGAAAUGCUUAGAUAUCGUCAAGAACACCUAUAGCGAAGGCAGCUAACUAAGCUUUAACUGACGCUGAGGCACGAAAGUGUGGGGAUCAAACAGGAUUAGAUACCCUGGUAGUCCACACUGUAAACGUUGAUUACUCGCUGUUGGCGAUACACAGCCAGCGGCUUAGCGCAAGCGAUAAGUAAUCCACCUGGGGAGUACGCCGGCAACGGUG